AACCAUAGAAACCUGCGGAGUACCUGCGGAAGGAUCAUUACAGAGUUGCAAAACUCCCUAAACCAUUGUGAACGUUACCUAAACCGUUGCUUCGGCGGGCGGCCCGGGUCCUUCCCGGCGCCCCUCGGCCCUCGCGGGCGCCCGCCGGAGGUAAACCAAACUAUUGCAUUUGUAUGGCCUCUCUGAGUCUUCUGUACUGAAUAAGUCAAAACUUUUAACAAUGGAUCUCAGAUCGGAAGA
rnacentral:misc_RNA from 1 species